UGCCGCGUGUGUGAAGAAGGCCUUCGGGUUGUAAAGCAUUGACGGGAAGAAAAGCCCUAGGUUAAUACCCUGGGGUCAUGACGGUACCGUAAGAAUAAGCACCGGCUAACUUCGUGCCAGCAGCCGCGGUAAUACGAAGGGUGCAAGCGUUACUCGGAAUUACUGGGCGUAAAGCGUGCGUAGGUGGUCUGUCAAGUCCGAUGUGAAAGCCCUGGGCUCAACCUGGGAACUGCAUUGGAAACUGGCAGUCUGGAGUGCGGUAGAGGGUAGCGGAAUUCCCGGUGUAGCAGUGAAAUGCGUAGAUAUCGGGAGGAACAUCCGUGGCGAAGGCGGCUACCUGGACCAGCACUGACACUGAGGCACGAAAGCGUGGGGAGCAAACAGGAUUAGAUACCCUGGUAGUCCACGCCCUAAACGAUGCGAACUGGAUGUUGGGGGCACUUUGGCCUUCAGUAUCGAAGCUAACGCGUUAAGUCGCCGCCUGGG
rnacentral:rRNA from 1 species